AACAGAAUUGCACGUUGUCGAGACAAGAAAGUUGGAUAAGAUAAAAUAUAAGCGCUUUAUAUAGAUAGAUUUUUUUCCAAACAAGCCAUUCUCCUCCGAUAUUCUUUGUUACUUUCACAUUUGCAAGGACUCUCUAGAAAAAUAUAGUGUACCUUAAUCUAAUCUAUUCUGAUAACGUGUCACCUGCAUGUCGGUGACAAACCAACUAGACUAUCGCUUACAUUCUCUACAUUAAGGAUUAACGUGUCAAGCAAAUUACAGCCAACGUUCGCAGAAAAAAAAACAAAUCUCAAACUGGUCUGUAAAAAUAUAAAUUGCUACAAUAAUAAACUAUCUACUACAUUCUCGAAAAAAACGUGCACCAAGUGUUACAUAUCUAUGCAUGAAGCACAAUGCGAAGAAACGCAAUGAGGUGUCCGAGUGUCGAGAGCUGGAACAUUAUUUUCCGACUUUAGUAAAGAGAGAGACCGACAACGAGAUAUGCGAUUUGUACAAAUAACAAUUAAUUAUUAUUGACGAAAGUGAGUUAGUGACAAUUCGUGUUAUCAAACAUUAUUCGUGAUCGAGUGGGGUGAAAUUCUGAUGUCGAAUUUUGGCACUUUAUCCAUAUUAAACGAGACUUGCUCGACUCGAAACAAAGACGCUCGCUGAUCACCUGAGACUUACCAUCAUUGCAGGCGGCGAGGGAAAACCCAUAGUGGUGGUAGUCGUAGGUAGAAGUUGCGUCAUUCCUUGACCCUGUAACACAGCCAGUAACAUGCCAUAUGCCAGGAUGCAUGCAUCACACUCACCUAAAGAGUGCUAACUGACGAGAAAGUUACUUCGUUACGGUGUUACACAGAGCGCGAAAGGGUCCCACGACGAACGAUGACUUAAAUUUACGGAUUUAAGUAAAAAGCUGAAUGAUACUACGUGAACUAUGAUACUUAGCACGCCUCUUAACGAGCUAUAAUAAAUGUGAAGAAUUGCUAAUAAUUUCUUCCAAGUGAGAAGGCGAGCGUUUAAACAUUGAAAUAAUCCCGUGAGAAACAAAAAUAGCAUAUAUGAUAUCUAUGGAUCUACGUUUCGGAGAUCUACAUUUCGUAAUGCGUUUUAUUAAGAAACAAUUGUUCUAUUCGGAUAAUAAUGCAUAACAACAAUGAUGUGUACAUGUGCGUGUAUUCUCGUGUAUCAACAAUCAGAAAAAGCGUGCUGGGAAUUAUUUUACGGAGACCGAAGAUGAAAACGUCAAGACUUACCAUGGGCCGAUAGCCAGCACCAGUAGUAGCUGCCAUUGGCUGAGGUGACCAUCCACCAGCUGGACCCGUUUUUGCGGCGUUCUUCGGUUUCAAAAGAUCCUCUAAACUCUAAACCAUCGUCACGGAAUUUCUAAACAGCAGCGUGCAAAAGCCUCUAAACGUAAAAUUAUGCUUGCAUUGCACAAAUACUCAUGAGCAUGCAAAUUAUCAUAAUUAAAUUGUAAACUAAUAAAAUAACGAUCGCAUACAUACACAACACAGAGCGUUAUCGCGCGUUCUAUGAAUAUACCAACGAUUAACCAGAAAGUGAUGUAAUCAUCUAUCUUUCUUUUGGAGUGAUUUUUGCGAUGUCGAAAAUAUUAUAAAUAAAUCAGGCACGUUUAUCUACUAGUGCACAGAUGGCUAAAAUUACAUCACACUUAUCUUACGUCUUCACAUCUUUAGACAUAAACAAUCACGGCGACUUACCGAUCGCAAUAAAGUACAAAUGAUAAAUCAAAAGUGCGAUUUCUUGGACAAUAUACAAAAGUCAAAAAAAUAUGAAGACACAUAUAUCUAAAAGAUGUCUCUUAAGUUUACACGUAUUAUUUCUAGAUAUAAACUUUCACAGUACAGAAUGCGCAAUAUCGUGCUGCGACGCAAAGAGGCGAAAGAAAAAGAAAAGACUUGGACGGAGAGAAAGAGAUAGAGAAAACAGCGAGGGUGCGACCGUCAUGCAAUUAGCGUGUGGGUUAAUUUAGGCAUUCCCGUCACCUGACAUCGGCUGCUUUGCCGGCGAGCCGUACCCCACGGGGACUUGGGCUUGGGGAGGAAUACCGUAGCCGACCAUCGGCGCGCCGGUCAUCAUGGACUGUUGGCCGGCAGCGUCGUUCAUGCCGCUGAACAUCGCGGCACCCGCCGGCGGCAUUUGUUGUUGUUGCAGCGGCUGCUGCUGGGCGGUGAUCGCGGCUUGUUGCUGGACCAUCGGCGCCGGACGCGACGGAGACCCGCCCAGUGCCAUGCGGAUGCUGUCGUUGAGAUCGUCGAAGGCGCUCUUGUUAGCGGGGGGGCCUGGGGCCGUCGCCGUCGCCGCCGCUGGUCUACCAUGUGACACUCCGGUUGGGGAUAGUGCACGCGGUGCGGCACCAACGUUUGCGGCAGCAACGGGCGCGGGUGGCGGUGGUCUAGGUGGCGGCGUGGCAGUGGAGGAUGUCUUGCCGACGGCGGAGGAUGCCGUCGACGCCACCACCUCGGCCGCCGCAGCGUCCCCGUCGCCGUUUGUUGCGGUCUUCAGCAUCGCGGCGGACCCAUCGCCCCCCGCGAAGAGAUCCGCUUGACCGGCACUGAAGAGGUCUCCGCCUGACGCCGUUGUUGUCGCUCCUGCUGCUGCUUGCGCCGCUGAUUCGUUCAUCGCACCGCCGCCAACAACACCACCGCCGGCGUUUUGAUCGAAGAGCCCGAAGGCGCCCGCGUUCGUCGCCUGUUGACCGCCGGCGGUACCGAGGGACGGGAAAUCGGACAUGAAGGGAUUAGGUACGGACGCGGCCGUUCCUGGGACGCCAGCUUGCGCAGAAAGUGAUCAAGACGCUGCUGCACCAAACAAAUCCACGAUCGGCUGGUUGGCAUUAUUGGUCGGUGAACUGAGGAAGGGAUUUGUGCUAGUACCCGAUGGCGAUUGUACUUUUGCCUGCAAUAUAUACAUUGAGAAUCAGUAUCAUGUUUUAUACACGAAGAAUAUAUUCCCGAGCGCGCUACAACAACAGAAAAAUGCUUAAAGUAUCAAGAAGGUAAGUUGGAAGAAUACUUUGACAUGAAUAGUCAUCGCGCACACACAAUCCCAACUUUAUCCAUUUAAAAUGAAAAUCAUGCGGAAUCAAGUAACUCGAUUAUGAAAAAUUUGUCUAAUACCUUGUAUUGAUUCAUGGCGGCUUCCUCUUCCGCAAGAGCUUGCUGUCGCAGCGCCUCAUCGAUGUGGCCAUUCCCAGUUUGGUCGAGCCUUGCAUUGCUGGCUGCUGUUCCGAACGCGGUACUGGUGGAAGACAGGGCGGACACUCCCGACUUUACAUUGGUUCUAUUGCUGCUUUUGGGCGAUGAUGGGAUGUCGGAGAUGUGCGGUGUCAAUUGGACGGAAGAAAACAAAAGAGGACGGACAAGAAGAAUACGGAAGGUCCGUUUCAGCGAGUUUGUCAAAUGUGGCGAGAGAGAGGAGCGUAAAGGAAAAUUUGAUAAUUGAAAACAAAGGAGAAGAGAGACAAACAAAAAAACAAAAAUACAAACGUGUAGUACGUAUAGAUGUAACAAUGCGCGUAAAAAUGCAUAGUGUGCAUCCAUUCGUACACUCACAUGCAACCCUUCUCUUUCUCUCUCUUCUUCUCACCCUGGCACUCUUUUUCUCUUUCUCUCCCUCUUAUUCUCUCCCUCUCUUUCUUUUUCUUUCAUUCGCAAUUUUACUGUCCAAUUCUUUACUAUAUGUCCUAAUAUACACAUGCAUUUAUUGGUGUUCUAUUUUCUGUAAUAAAAAUAACGUCAAGCUUGCGUAUCAAAUCAAAUCAUAUUAUAAUCACAUUAAUGUGUAAAUAUAUAUCGUUCAAUUAUUUUAUAUAAUUUUAAAAAUAGUACUGAGCUUGCUACAAUAAUAAAAAGCCAUUUUGUACAUGAUAAAUACAUGUGCAUUAAAACCUUAUAUAGUAUUCUCUCUUCAUUAUUCCAAAACAAAUUGUUUUAAGAAUUUUAACGGUAAUCUCAAUUUAAACUGUUAUAUCCAAGCUAUAUGAGUUUCUAUACCAAUGGAUAAGAAAUAUACUUUGUAUUUACAAAUUUCAAUUAUUAGAAUAAAAUUCCAUUAUUCAUAAUAGAUUUAAAAAGCAAUGUAUAAGCAAUUAAAAUUAAAUUAUUGAUUUACUGUUAAUCGCAAUUAAGACAAUUUAUUUUACAGCGUGCUUAAUAUCUACUAUAAUCAAACUAUAGGGAAACUACGCCAAUUACCUAAGAUUAAACAGAUUAUAAAUUUAUUCAUGCAAUAUACAUGAACGGUAAAUUGGAAUUGGUAAUGUCAAAAGUACAAGUAUAAUUUUCGACGAGAAGUACAUAUAUAUAUAUAUAUAUAUACAUAAAUAAAUAUUAAAUACCAAAAAUUUAGAGACACAGCGUGGAUAUCUUAUAAAUGGAUUAGGAUAUACAAAUAAAUUUUCAAAAAUUCUGUGUACAACUAAAUGUCAAAUGUCAUUGGAUAAAAUUAACCUGAAAUAUCCAGGAAAUACCAUCGAUAAACUUUGUAAAUUGGAAGAUAACUGUCGAAAAAGAUACAACUUUCCAAAAAUAUUUGUUCAAGACUUCUCACGACAUUUAUUUAAAGAACAUAAUGAAUACUUAGCAUUUCUUUAUAUGAGUUUGAAAUGGGUUGUAUAAGUGGGAAAUUAUGAUAUUCGAGAUAAACGAAUGCAAUUUUGUGUUUAAAUAAUUCUUAUGCGUGUGCAUGUGCAAUAAACAUAUUUUGUUUAAAUACUCAUAUUAAGAAGCUUGUAAAGAUGUGUAUAGAAAAAGGCGUUUUUGAUCUUAAAAAAAAUGUACAAUGAGACGAAAAAUGGUGGAUUUGGGAGAAGUAGAGAAGGAGAAGUAUAUCGAUUUUGAUAGCAUUCAGUGUAGGGACGUUUAGAAUUAUUCCUACAUCGAUCAUUAUGUGAAAUUUAAAUGAAUCGAAUAUAAAUGGGCAAAGAAAUUAGCAUACCUUGCUGAUUGCGUCGGCGUAUUUGCGGCUGAGCCCUUCUUUCCUUCCAAGGAAGCGAGAUGUUGCUCCAAGGCGUCCAAUAAACUACUUGGUGCCUAAAAAGCAAUUUGUCAGUCAUUCAUAGGGCCAUUAGAAUCAUGAGUGAGGUGCAAGAUAGAAUGAAUCAGCUGUGCAUUUAACUUGGAAAUUUCUCUGCGCUAAAACGCAUGCAUUUAUUUUUAGAAGAUUUCGUGAGUUAGUCAUAAAUAUUUUCUUUGAAAAUGUUAUAAACGAAUAUUCAAUGAAAGAGUAAUCGACGGUAAAAUCGGCUCACAAAAUCUGCCAAAAUAAAUAUCACCAAUUAUCUUUAUGCUGCUCUAUACUAGAUCACACUAAUUCUACCUCGUUAAGAUAUAAUCAGUGUUGAUAUUACCUGUCAGUAAUGUACAAUAGGAAGAAACAAACGAAAAUAUUACUUUAUCGGUUGGCUAGUUAAAUAAUUUUUUUCACUUCGUUAAUUAAUCU